GCAUAUCAAUAAGCGGAGGAAAAGAAACCAACAGGGAUUGCCCUAGUAACGGCGAGUGAAGCGGCAACAGCUCAAAUUUGAAAUCUGGCUUCGGCCCGAGUUGUAAUCUGGAGAGGAAGCUUUGGGCGCGGCGCCAACUGAGUCCCCUGGAACGGGGCGCCACAGAGGGUGAGAGCCCCGUAUAGUUGGACGCCUAGCCUGUGUAGAGCUCCUUCGACGAGUCGAGUAGUUUGGGAAUGCUGCUCAAAAUGGGAGGUAAAUUUCUUCUAAAGCUAAAUACCAGCCAGAGACCGAUAGCGCACAAGUAGAGUGAUCGAAAGAUGAAAAGCACUUUGAAAAGAGGGUUAAACAGCACGUGAAAUUGUUGAAAGGGAAGCGCUUGUGACCAGACUCGCGCCGGGCUGAUCAUCCGGUGUUCUCACCGGUGCACUCUGCCCGGCUCGGGCCAGCAUCGGUUCCUGCGGGGGGAUAAAGGCUCCGGGAACGUAGCUCCUCCGGGAGUGUUAUAGCCCGGGGCGCAAUGCCCCCGCGGGGACCGAGGACCGCGCUCUGCAAGGAUGCUGGCGUAAUGGUCACCAGCGACCCGUCUUGAAACACGGACC
rnacentral:rRNA from 2 species